rnacentral:rRNA from 1 species
UGGGGAAUAUUGCACAAUGGGCGCAAGCCUGAUGCAGCCAUGCCGCGUGUAUGAAGAAGGCCUUCGGGUUGUAAAGUACUUUCAGCGAGGAGGAAGGCAUUAAGGUUAAUAACCUUAGUGAUUGACGUUACUCGCAGAAGAAGCACCGGCUAACUCCGUGCCAGCAGCCGCGGUAAUACGGAGGGUGCAAGCGUUAAUCGGAAUUACUGGGCGUAAAGCGCACGCAGGCGGUCUGUUAAGUCAGAUGUGAAAUCCCCGGGCUCAACCUGGGAACUGCAUUUGAAACUGGCAGGCUUGAGUCUUGUAGAGGGGGGUAGAAUUCCAGGUGUAGCGGUGAAAUGCGUAGAGAUCUGGAGGAAGACCGGUGGCGAAGGCGGCCCCCUGGACAAAGACUGACGCUAAGGUGCGAAAGCGUGGGGAGCAAACA